rfam:Macaca mulatta chromosome 4, whole genome shotgun sequence.
UGGCGCCCGAACAGGGACCUGGAAACGAGGGACUCCGUGAGGAACAGGACGCCAAAGGACGGUCGACCGAUAACAAAGACAAAAGGAGUCAAACUCUUCCGAUCACCGCGGGGACCUGCCGCGUCAGAAUCGAAGGUAAGUGACGCGUCCGAAAUGGGACAAGAAUUAAGCCAACAUCAAAUAUAUGUAGGACAAUUAAAAGAGGCUUUAAAGAUACGAGGAGUAAAGGUUAAAGGUAAUGAUUUGUUUAAAUUUUUUGAUUUUGUAAAAGACAGUUGCCCUU